GCAGGCCCCGGACGGCCACCCACCUUUGUGAGGCAGGGGGUGGGUUCUUAGGAGAGAGGGGAGGGGAGGGCCAGGGAGAGGAGGGCAGGGAGACCCCAGCAGCGGAGCCUGGGAGGUGCUGGGACCCAUCAGGCUGCGGCCUGGGCCCGUCAGGCUGUCGGAGGCCAGAGGAGGGAGAGUGACUGGCGCAUCAACUCUGCGAGAGUGGAACCUGAUCCUCAUGUGAUCUGCUUUUCCUCGUGACACAGCCUGACACCCAAGAGAUCCUCACUCCCAAAACUCAACAGUAAAAGAGCAAACCAUCAGGUUAGAAAGUGUGAAAGACAUGCACAGACAUUUCACCAGAGAGGACGCAUGGAUGGCAAAGGCGGCAGGAAGAGAUGUUUGCUGUCAUUAGCCAUUCCGGCAACACAGAGAAGGACCACUGUGAGACACCACUAUGUGCCUGUCCGAACAGCUAGAACCAAAGAUAAUGACAACUGAAUGCUGGUGAGGAUGUGGAGAAACAGAAUCAACCCUCCAUUGUCGGUGGAAAGGGAAAAUGCCUUAGGCACUCUGGAGAACAGUUUGGCAGCUUCCUAUAAAAACUAGACAUGCGCUACCACAGAGCCCAGCCACGGUACUCUUGGGCGUUUAUCCUGGAGAAACAAAAAGUUAUGUUCAAGUGAAAACCUGUACACAAAUGUUCAUGGCAGCUUUACUUGGAAUGGCCCCAAACUGGAAGCAUCCCAAUGCCUUUCAAUGGGUGAAUGAUUGAACAAACUGCAGUGCAUCCAUAUCACGGAAUUCUGAACGAGUAAAACAAACAAACUGUUGGCACACACCACACCUGCGUGAACCUCCAGAGAAUUAUGCCAAAUGAAAAAGCCAACCUAAAAGGUCA